UAAUACAGAGGGUGCGAGCGUUAAUCGGAAUUACUGGGCGUAAAGGGUGUGUAGGUGGUUGAAUAAGUUAGGUGUGAAAUUCCUGGGCUUAACCUGGGACAGUCGCUUAAUACUGUUUAGCUAGAGUACUAGAGAGGAUAGUGGAAUUUCCAGUGUAGCGGUGAAAUGCGUAGAUAUUGGAAGGAACAUCAGUGGCGAAGGCGACUAUCUGGAUAGAUACUGACACUGAAACACGAAAGCAUGGGGAGCAAACAGGAUUAGAUACCCUGGUAGUCCAUGCUGUAAACGAUGAGAACUUGCUGUUUGGUACGUAGAAGUACUAAGUAGCGAAGCAAACGCGAUAAGUUCUCCGCCUGGGGAGUACGGCCGCAAGGUUA
rnacentral:rRNA from 1 species